GCAGUCUGCAACUCGACUGCAUGAAGUCGGAAUCGCUAGUAAUCGCGGAUCAGCAUGCCGCGGUGAAUGCGUUCUCGGGUCUUGUACACACCGCCCGUCAAGCCAUGGGAGUUGGGGGUACCCAAAGUCGGUGAGCUAACCCGCAAGGGAGGCAGCUGCCUAAGGUAAAACCAAUGACUGGGGUUAAGUCGUAACAAGGUAUC
rnacentral:rRNA from 1 species